CGCGGAGUGGAGCAGUUGGCAGCUCGUGGAGGCGUUGGCAGCAAGGUCGUAGGUUCAAGUCCUGCCUCCGCAACCA
rnacentral:tRNA from 1 species